rnacentral:lncRNA from 1 species
UAUACCUUAAUCAUCAGCUUUUAAGGAAGAUUUUAUCGAGGCGAUUUUGGCAUUGAUUCUGUGCAUCUCAUUCAUUUUAUCACAAUGAAACUGCAUUCUGCAACAGUUAUCUGUAUACUUGUUUAAUGCUAUUUUGUGUAGGCUGUAGAUGGUAUUGGCUUGUUAAGUAAAUUUCAUUGGAUAUUUCCCAGCUAGCUUAGAGACUAAUUGUAGAUUUGUCUAUAUUAUUUGUAUUCCCUACUCCAAGAAUGGUUUUUGGUUAGUCCUGCUGCUUGCGGCUUGAGAUUUUAGAUUUGUCUCAUGCUCUCUAUUCAUGUUUUUGUAAUUAUCUUUUCUCCCUAUUCUGUAGGUUUCCUGGGAAAUUUCUCUUUUAAUUCGUUCAGAGUACUCCUUGACUGAACCUUAUGUGGCGCAUGUUCUUAUUGAGGCUAUUCACUGUGGAUCUGUUAUAUUUGUUGGAAACAACAUGGUGAUUCGUGACGCGGACAUGUAUGGAUGUAACAUGGCAAAAUGUACACAUAGUAAUGCUAUGUUGUUAAACUCAAGAUUAAAAUGUACACAUAGUAAUGCUAUGUUGUUCUUGCACUGCAUUGAAUCAAAUGUAAGAAAUCUAAAUUCCAGCAACGAUCUUGGAGUGUUAAGUGGUGACAAGUGGUCAGCAUCACUUGACUCCACUGCAUACCACGUACAGUUUAUGGACUUGCAUUUUUGCUGGAUAUUGCUAGAAAUUGAUCGUUAUAUGCUUAACUGGGGGAGACGGCCAUGAUCCUUCUAAAACAGCUGUAAAAGCAUCUUCAGCAGCCAUUCUGGCAAGAAUUUUGGUAAUGAAUACCAAUUACCUUGCCCAUUUAACAUCACAACCAUAACUAUUGGUAGUUCUCCAGUAGGCAGGAUUCCUCAUUGAAGAAAACAUUCUCCUUUACCUGGUUGACAUAUGGCUUAAAAAGGUCAGCUACUCCUGAACAUAAAUUAGCUACUAAUAUGCAUUUUCCCAAUCCCUCUCUGGGGGUUACCUAAUUUUUGUUUUAUUUACAAAUUGAACUUUGACUGUAGGCCAAUAGCUAUCCCAUAUCCUGAACUGGAGGCUCAUGAUUAUUUAUUUAUGGCUAAUAUAUUACGAUAAAGACAAGGAUAAAUUAUUCUAAUCUAAAAAUGGGUUUGGAGAAACUGCACCGCUUGGAAAGAAAGUGGACGUUUUGGUUUUUUUUCUUUGUGGUAAUGUUUUCCCACCUCCCAUCUUCCAGGGUAAGCAGGAUAACCAUAAAAAAACAAAGUAUGUCCAAAUUUCUGUGGAGUCGUAUACACAUCUAAUUGGGUUUGAGGAUGAAGUGAAGUCUUACGAGGACCAAGUGAAUUCAUACGAGGAUCAAGUGAAGACAUUUGAGGAUCAAGUGACUUCAUACGAGGUUCAAGUGACUUCGUAUAAGGAUCAAGUGAAAGCAUUAGAAGAUGAUGUUGAGGAAUUGAAUGAAAAGCUGUCUGCUGCGAAUUCAGAGUUGACAACGAAGGAAAGUCUAGUAAAAUAGCACGCUAAACUUGCUGAAGAAGCUGUUUUAGGUACGUUGGUGUGGUGCUGGUCGUCCAUGAAAUAUUAGGUCGUGCAAUGUCAUAUAUUUUAUUCUUUUUUUAGAGUAAGAGAUUUUAUGAAAUUGAUUCAUUUCCUCGAACAGGUUGGGAAAAAGCUGAGGUAGAAGCUUUGGCAUUGAAAAAUCAUCUAGAAUCAGUUACAUUGUUAAAGCUUACUGCUGAAGAUCGAGCAUCACAUUUAGAUGGUGCUUUGAAGGAGUGCAUGCGGCAGAUUAGAAAUUUAAAAGAAGAACAUGAGCAGAAACUGCAGGAAGUUGUUCUUACCAAAACACAGUAAUACGAUAUGAUAAAGCUUGAGCUCGAAACACAGUUGAUAUAUUUAUUAGCUUUGGUAAGUUGGUGUUCAUUAGGUGCUUGUCUUGAUUUUGUAGGAGUGUAGAAAACUCUUUCUUGUGAAGUUGCCAGAAAGUAGAAAGUUCAUUGUAUCGAAAAACCAAAAAUUACUUGCGGUUCCUUUGGGUAUUGCAUCUGUGAAACACUGUGGGUAUUGCAUAAACUACACGGCAUAUGUAGUUUUUAAAAGCAUGUACAUGUCAUAACCCUCAUUAUUCUGUGCAAAGAGAAAUGACAUUCAAGAUACUUGACAGGCUAAUGGAUUCUGUAGAAAGACAAUUAGGAUAGGGGUUUCAAGUUAGAAAAUUUGAACACUUUUUCUCUUAUUGAUGAUCCUUGUGACACUGGUAGAUUUUUAAAAUGGUUAAACUAAGUGGUACAACUAUAUCUCUUUUGGUUUCAUGAAGUGAUAGGAAUCAUAUAUACAAGAUAGUAAUAAUCUUAAUAUACAUAAAUUAUUAAGUCGGUCUGUUGUUAGAAUAUAAUCAUAUACCUUAAUCAUCAGCUUUUAAGGAAGAUUUUAUCGAGGCGAUUUUGGCAUUGAUUCUGUGCAUCUCAUUCAUUUUAUCACAAUGAAACUGCAUUCUGCAACAGUUAUCUGUAUACUUGUUUAAUGCUAUUUUGUGUAGGCUGUAGAUGGUAUUGGCUUGUUAAGUAAAUUUCAUUGGAUAUUUCCCAGCUAGCUUAGAGACUAAUUGUAGAUUUGUCUAUAUUAUUUGUAUUCCCUACUCCAAGAAUGGUUUUUGGUUAGUCCUGCUGCUUGCGGCUUGAGAUUUUAGAUUUGUCUCAUGCUCUCUAUUCAUGUUUUUGUAAUUAUCUUUUCUCCCUAUUCUGUAGGUUUCCUGGGAAAUUUCUCUUUUAAUUCGUUCAGAGUACUCCUUGACUGAACCUUAUGUGGCGCAUGUUCUUAUUGAGGCUAUUCACUGUGGAUCUGUUAUAUUUGUUGGAAACAACAUGGUGAUUCGUGACGCGGACAUGUAUGGAUGUAACAUGGCAAAAUGUACACAUAGUAAUGCUAUGUUGUUAAACUCAAGAUUAAAAUGUCAUGGGAUACAGGUUUCCGGGAACAGGGGAGCGAGUGGUAUUGAUGGUCUGCUUAGCACUGCUGUUGGAUUUACUGUAUGAUGUAAAGAUAAUGAAUUAUUAUGUAGUGGA